GACCUGAAGUUGUUCCUAGAGACAAACCUGCCCCUCUCUGCGAAGAAGAAAGCCGUGUUGGGGGUUUCAGAUUCCAAGGUCGGAGAAUCUUUACAAGAAGAGUUUACCGUGUCCAUCCAGACUGGAGAGGUGGUGGCAGAGAUGAGCAGAAGUCUGCACUUCCACUCGCUGGUGAAGGGUCUCACCGGCCUGGCUGCCUCCAAGGCACAGCUGGAUACCACUUCCCAGAGCUGGUCAGAAUCGUCCGCAGAGCAUGGAGGCCGUGGUGAUGGACGGCACCAAGGCUCAGGCCAUCCUGGAAGCAUCCUGUUCCUCCAUGGGUAUGGACAUCUCACCCAUUGAGAGAUUCUCCACUCGCGUGGUGGCUCUGGCUGAAUAUCCACUCGGGCUGCAGGAGUACCUGCGCUGCAAGAUGGCCCAAGUGGCCCCAGAUUUAAUCUGAGAAGUGGUUGGAGCUCGCUUUUUCCACUAGGCCGGGCCGGAACUAGGCCUAGUGGAAGCGCAACCAAAAACGGGCACGACACGGCACGCUUAAAGCGAGCUCCGCGCUGUAGUGGAACUGCGCCAUAACAAGGCCCUGUUCAGGUACUGGGGCA